UGUAGUCAUAUGCUUGUCUCAAAGAUUAAGCCAUGCAUGUCUAAGUAUAAACCACUUUGUACGGUGAAACUGCGAAUGGCUCAUUAUAUCAGUUAUGGUUUAUUUGAUGAUACCUUGCCACUUGGAUAACCGUGGUAAUUCUAGAGCUAAUACAUGCACGAAAUCCCGACUUCGUAGGAAGGGAUGUAUUUAUUAGGUAAAAACCAACCUGGGGCAACCCAGUCGCUGGUGAAUCAUGAUAACUUUGCGAACCGCAUCUGCCCUUGCGGCGGCGGUGGAUCAUUCAAAUUUCUGCCCUAUCAACUUUCGAUGGCAGGAUAGAGGCCUGCCAUGGUUUUAACGGGUAACGGGGA
rnacentral:rRNA from 1 species